GGGGAUGAUCGGCUUCGACGGGGCAGGCUGACCGAGAACUGCAUGCCGAGGUGCGUCCACCUCGUUAAAAGGCGCACAAACACAACUGCCAACAACGGCAAGGCUUUCACCUUCGCUCCCCGCAGUAAUGCGGCUUUCGCCCUCGCUGCCUAAGCGAAGCUAGCCACCCCCUCGGCCCACGGGUCGAGGCGGCCCUCACAGUGUGUCUCGCAGGCUGUGAGCCAGCCGUCAUAAACUGUUAGAGAUGCUGCCCGGCUGACGUCGAUAGGCCUGGCAAAAGAGCCAGAUGCGUCUGGCCAUCGACUUCCUCUUCAGGAACUCGCUGUCGCUGGCGGGUCGGAGAGCCAAGACACAAGCAGCGACUAAGCUUGUAGUAUGUUCUCGC
rnacentral:tmRNA from 1 species